rnacentral:SRP_RNA from 1 species
GCUGGGCAUGGUUGUGCAUGCCUGUAGUCCCAGCUACUCAGGAAGCUGAGGCAGGAGAAUCACUUGAACCCAGGAGGUGGAGGUUGCAGUGAGCCAAGAUUGCACCACUGCUCUCCAGCCUGGGUGGCAGAGUGAGAUUCUGUCUUUA